GCAGAUGGCCAGGCGUUCGCUGCGUCAGAUUCUGGCGGAGAGGAAAGUCCGGGCUCCACAGGACACGAUGGUGGGUAACGCCCACCGUCCGCGAGGACAGGGCAAGUGCAACAGAAAGCAAACCGCCUGAACGAUGCACUUCAUCGAGGUAUGUUGUGAGGCAAAGCCGGCAACGGCUUUCCAGGUAAGGGU
rnacentral:RNase_P_RNA from 1 species